GGUUCGAUUAUGGCUCCAGAUUGAACGCUGGCAGGAUGCUUUACACAUGCAAGUCGAACGGCAGCACGGACUUCGGUCUGGUGGCGAGUGGCGAACAGGUGGUAAUGUAUCGGAACGUGCUAGUAGCGAGGGGAUAACUACGCAGAAAGCGUAGCUAAUGCCACAUGCACCCUUCCCGGAAAGCAGGGGGACCUUCGGGCCUCGCACUAUUAGAAGCGGCCGAUAUCGGAUUAGCUAGUUGGUGGGGUAACGGCUCACCAAGGCGACGAUCCCGUAGCUGGUUUGAGAGGACGACCAGCCACACUGGGACUGAGACACGGCCAGACUCCUGGGAGGCAGCAGUGGGGAAUUUUGGACAGUAAAAACCUGAUCCAGCCAUCGCGUGUGCGAUGAGCCUUCGGGUUAUAAAAGCACUUUUGUAGAGGAAAAAAGCAGCACCAGGAUAUGCCGAUACAGCAACCGGUACCUGCAGAAUAAGCACCGGCUAACUACGUACCAGCAGCCGCGAGUAAGCGUAGGGUGCAAGCGUUAAUCAAGGAAUUACUGGGCGUAAAGCGUGCCGGCGGUUCGGAAGAAGAUGUGAAAUCCCGAGCUUAACUUGGAACUGCAUUUUUAACUACACAAAACUAGAGUGAAAACUGUCAGGGAGGUGGAAUUCCGCGUGUAGCAGUGAAAUGCGUAGAUAUGCGGAGGAACACCGAUGGCGAAGGCAGCCUCCUGGGAUAACACUGACGCUCAUGCACGAAGCGUGGGGAGCAAACAGGAUUAGAUACCCUGGUAGUCCACGCCCUAAACGAUGUCAACUAGCUGUUGGGGCCUUCCGGGCCUUGGUAGCGCAGCUAACGCGUGAGAUGACUACGCCUGGGAGUACGGUCGCAAGAUUAAAACUCAAAAUUGACGGGGACCCACACAAGCGGUGGAUGAUGUGGAUUAAUUCGAUGCAGCAUAAAAAAGCCUUACCUACCCUUGACAUGUCUGGAAUCCGAAAAGAGAUUUGGGAGUGCUCGCAAGAGAACCGGAACACAGGUGCUGCAUGGCUGUCGUCAGCUCGUGUCGUGAGAUGUUAGGUUAAGUCCCGCAACGAGCGCAGCCCUUGUCAUUAGUUGCUACGAAAGGGCACUCUAAUGAGACUGCCGGUGACAAACCGGAGGAAGGUGGGGAUGACGUCAAGUCCUCAUGGCCCUUAUGGGUAGGGCUUCACACGUCAUGCAAUGGUCGGGACAGAGGUCGCCAACCCGCGAGGGGGGAGCCAAUCCCGAAACCCGAUCGUAGUCCGGAUCGCAGUCUGCAACUCGACUGCGUGAAGUCGGAAUCGCUAGUAAUGCAGAUCGUAUGUCGCGGUAGAUACGUUUCCAGGUCUUGUACACACCGCCCGUCACACCAUGGGAGUGGGUUUUACCGAAGUAGUUAGCCUAACCGUAAGGAGGGUGAUUACCACGGUAGGAUUCAUGACUGGGGUGAAGUCGUAACAAGGUAA
rnacentral:rRNA from 1 species